rnacentral:rRNA from 1 species
CAGCCGCCGCGGUAACACGGAGGGUGCAAGCGUUAAUCGGAAUUACUGGGCGUAAAGCGUGCGUAGGCGGUUCGUUAAGUCUGUUGUGAAAGCCCCGGGCUCAACCUGGGAAUGGCAAUGGAUACUGGCGAGCUAGAGUGUGUCAGAGGAUGGUGGAAUUCCCGGUGUAGCGGUGAAAUGCGUAGAGAUCGGGAGGAACAUCAGUGGCGAAGGCGGCCAUCUGGGACAACACUGACGCUGAGGCAUGAAAGCGUGGGGAGCAAACAGGAUUAGAUACCCCUGUAGUCCCUGUCUCUUAUAC